ensembl:lncRNA
GAGUGGGAAAAAGCGUGAGGUUAGGGGUAUAUUUUAAAGGGUGCUCAGAGCAUAUUACAUAGAUGCCUAGCAGUAUUUCCUUAUAAAGUGAAGUAUCCAAUGAUUCCUUUGCUUUCAAUGAAAUCUUUUACAGCAUGCAGAGAGACAGCUUUGAAAGUGAUGGAUCUAAUCCUUUAGUAUAUUCUACUUGAUAGUCAAUCUGGAUGAGAAGAAGAAAGCUUCACAUGUGAGAUAAAUGCACUCAGAGACUCCUCACAAGUAGCUCUUUGGAGCUUCAGAUGUGAAAUGGAUCAUUCCUCAAUCUGUAAUAGACCCUUCUGUGAAGCUCUUCAAUCAAACCUGAGAAUUCAAGGGGAAAUUGAGGGGAGGAUGAGAAACCCCUACAGGGGGGUUUGAGUGAAGUAGUUGAGAGAAAACCUGGAGUAUUUGGUGCGUCUUUUUUUUCAGUUCUUUUCUUGGGCAUGUAGGAAGACCGUCAAUCACUGUGCAACCUUACGUGCUGUAUAUGUGUCAUACCUGGGUACAGCGAGACAAGCUAUAGAGGACUCCCGCUACACAGGCAUCUUUGAUUCUUUUCCAUUUGUUGUUUUUCCUGACAGCCUUCAGGUUAUUUUUAAAGUGGCUCUUUUAAUAUAGACUUAUUAUAUUAUUAGAUUUUCUCUUUCCAUGAAAUUAUUUAUUAGUUGAUAGGAUGAAUUUUUAAAAAAUCUUUUGAGAAAAGCAUAAAUAAUCUUUUAAGAAAGUUAGUGAAGAAUGAUAACUAGUUGGAAGAAUUGUCAUAUUUUGUUAAGUGAUGAUCCUGGUACGUACAUCUUAUUUAGAACUCAUGUUUGUAGAUCAUGUAAUGACUUUUAAUUAGUUUGUUUUCAGUAAAGCAAUAAGACAGAUUUACCCCUACUAAGGGAAACAGCAUUGCUCUGAAAUUAGUUCUUAUGUCACAAUUUUUAUUUAUUUGGGGGCACAUUUUCAGUUGGAUAUUUCUAGGUUAAUGAAAAGAAACUCUAGAAUUUUCAAUGGGCUAUUUAGUUUGGGGGAACAGUUAAUCCUGACACCAAACUGACUAAUAAAACCUAUGCUUUGGAAUUUAUGCUCAAAUAUAGAAUAUGUU